UGCGUAGGUGGUGAGGUAAGUCGGAUGUGAAAGCUCGGAGCUCAACUCCGAAAUGGCAUUGGAAACUACCUUGCUCGAGGGUUGGAGGGGGGACUGGAAUGCUUGGUGUAGCAGUGAAAUGCGUAGAUAUCAAGCGGAACACCAGUGGCGAAGGCGAGUCCCUGGACAACUCCUGACACUGAGGCACGAAAGCUAGGGGGGCAAACA
rnacentral:rRNA from 1 species